AGAAUCAACGCUGGCGGCGUGCCUAACACAUGCAAGUCGAACGAGAAAGUGGAGCAAUCCAUGAGUAAAGUGGCGCACGGGUGAGUAACACGUGACUAACCUACCCUUGAGUGGGGGAUAACCUAGGGAAACCUGGGCUAAUACCGCAUAAUACCUAUGGGUCAAAGGAGCAAUUCGCUUAAGGAGGGGGUCGCGGCCGAUUAGUUAGUUGGCGGGGUAAUGGCCCACCAAGACGAUGAUCGGUAUCCGGCCUGAGAGGGCGCACGGACACACUGGAACUGAAACACGGUCCAGACUCCUACGGGAGGCAGCAGUGGGGAAUUUGCGCAAUGGGGGAAACCCUGACGCAGCAACGCCGCGUGGAGGAUGAAGCCCCUUGGGGCGUAAACUCCUUUCGAUCGGGACGAUUAUGACGGUACCGGAAGAAGAACGCCCCGGCUAACUUCGUGCCAGCAGCCGC
rnacentral:rRNA from 1 species